AACGCGAAGAACCUUACCUGUGCUUGCCAUAUGCCGGAUCGGCGCAGAGAUGCGUUUUCCCUUGUGGUCGGUAUACAGGUGGUGCAUGGUUGUCGUCAGCUCGUGUCGUGAGAUGUUGGGUUAAGUCCCGCAACGAGCGCAACCCUUGUCUUGUGUUGCCAGCACGUUAUGGUGGGGACUCGCGAGAGACUGCCGGGGUUAACUCGGAGGAAGGUGGGGAUGACGUCAAAUCAUCAUGCCCCUUAUGUCCAGGGCUUCACACAUGCUACAAUGGUCGGUACAGUGGGUUGCUACACCGUGAGGUGGUGCUAAUCCCUUAAAGCCGGUCUCAGUUCGGAUUGGAGUCUGCAACUCGACUCCAUGAAGUCGGAGUCGCUAGUAAUCGCAGAUCAGCAACGCUGCGGUGAAUACGUUCACGG
rnacentral:rRNA from 1 species